rnacentral:rRNA from 1 species
UACGGAGGGUGCAAGCGUUAUCCGGAUUCACUGGGUUUAAAGGGUGCGUAGGCGGGCAGGGUAAGUCAGUGGUGAAAUUCUCUGGGCUUAACUCAGAAACCUGCCGUUGAUACUAUCUGUCUUGAAUUCUGUGGAGGUGAGCGGAAUGAUGUCAUGUAGCGUGAAAUGCUUAGAUAUGACAUAGAACACCAAUUGCGAAGGCAGCCUCGACUACACAGCGAUUGACGACUGAGGCACGGAAAGCGAUGGGGAUCAAACAGG